UCUGAUGUCACUGCUUUCUUCCUCACGUCUCCUCACCCUAUCCCUUUCCCAAUUCGUUCUCCUACCAGCGCCGCCUCCUCACUCAGCCGCCAUGGCCAUGCCUCGCUGCCUCCUCUCCCAGACUCCCACACCUCCCGUCCUCGGCCGGCGCUCUCACAGCUGCCCACCCUCCGGCGCCGAGCCAACCCGCCUCCCUCCAGCGCUAUAACGGCCACCCGCCCACCGGCGCAUGGUUCCGGCUGCCGGCCGCCCCUCCCACCGGCGUCGGGCCACCCCUCCAUCGGCCAGAUCUCACGGCCGCCCCUCCCUCCGGCGCUGAGCCAACCUACCAUCGGGCGCAAGGCUCCGGCUGCAGGCCGUCCCGCCUCCGGCUCCAGGCCGUCCCGCCUCCGGCACCAAGCCACAUCGCCAUUGGCCGCAGGCGACCCCUACUCCGCCGCGUCCGCGGAAGCUGCGCUCGGGCUCCUGCCGUGCGCCUGGACCCACCCGCUUCCCUGGCUUCGCUCAUCCUCACCUCCCGCUAGGCAAUGGCGGGCGUCGGCGUUCCUUCAAAAGAGCUGCUCCCGCUCGUCUUGCAGGAGGAUGGGGACAUUCUCAGCAACCACUGUCGACAUGGGCACACCAGCUUAUCAUUGACAAUGUUCAACACCAUUUAACAAGGAAAUGACUUCUUCCACUGUUCUAUUGGUAUUACUUCCACAAUAGCCUACUUAUGCACCCAGGACGUGUAACUGCUAACAGGGCUACUUCUGCAGUUCUAUUUUCUCCCUCAACGUGCUGCUCAUCAUGAUCGAUUCUACCCAAAGAGGAUCCGUGAAAGUUCUUUUAAGAGGAACCUGGCUAGUGAAGACGGCAGGCUUGGCGACGAAGGUCUUUUUACUCGAUGGUGACUUUGGUCAGCGAGAUGAAGAAGACGGCUGACAGCGACUUUGGUCAGCGCGAUGAAGACGACGGUCAGCAGCGACCCUGGUUUUGGUCAGCGAGAUGAAGAAGACGGCUGACAGCGACUUUGGUCAGCGCGAUGAAGACGACGGUCAGCAGCGACCCUGGCUGACAGCGACUUUGGUCAGCGCGAUGAAGACGACGGUCAGCAGCGACCCUGGUUGUGGUCAGCGUGAUGAAGACGACAGUGCCAUUUCAAAUUUGGAUGGCGUGUUAGUUGAGAAAUAGUAGGUGUUUGUUGUGCCAUUUGAAAUUUUGAAAAACUACGCCUAAUGGUGUGGAGUUGUUUGUUAUCCACGGGCUGGUAUUUCUCCUCUUAGGAUAAAGACGUGUUAGUUGAGAAAUAGUAGGUGUUUGUUGUGCCAUUUGAAAUUUUGAACAGCUACGCCUAAUGGUGUGGAGUUGUUUGUUAUCCACGCCUAAUAGUAGAGAUUAGCAAGCGUGGAUGGGUUCUUUUGUUA